UAUCUAGGACAACAGUGAUGGAGAUACUGCUGGCAAUCAUUAUCAUCUCUACAUGGAGGAUAAUGAACUCAUGCAUCACCUUGGUGUCAACUCUUACAGAUUCUCUAUAUCUUGGUCAAGAAUUUUACCAAGAGGCAGAUUUGGGAAGGUUAAUUCAGUGGGCAUCGCGUUUUAC